AUGCUUUGCUCCCCAGUCACCAGCAACGUGCAGGUCACCAGGACCCUCAUCGAUGGCGGGGCAGGACUUAACGUCCUGUCCGUCGAGACGUUCGACAAUCUCCAAGUGCCGUACGACCAGCUUCAGCCGACCAAGCCUUUCUCAGGAGUCACCGAUGGUUCCACUGCUCCAAUUAGGCAGGUUCGCCUUCCGGUCACCUUCGGGCAACGCAACAACUAUCGCACCGAGCUCAUCGACUUCGACGUCGCUCACAUCCGCCUGCCGUACAACGCCAUCCACGGGUACCCAGCCCUAGCCAAGUUUAUGGAGGUGACUGACCAUGGUUACAAUGUCCUCAAAAUGCCAGGAAGCGGUAGAGUCAUCACCGUACCCUGUGAAGAAAGGGACGCAGUGUGCUCGCUUGAGUGUGCGUUCCAAGCUGCAGCAAUCGAAAAUCCGGAUCACAGGAGCGGGAGGCCUCUCAAGGCGACCCUCAAGAAGAAGACCUUACCUGGCCCGAGCCACAAGGAGCCAGGCACCUCUGGAGGUAUUGCGUCAGGAUUUGUGCCCGAUCAGGGAGCGCCGCCCUCUCAUGCAUAG
rnacentral:rRNA from 1 species